AGUGAGAUAGCUGGGUCAAAGGUGGUUCCAUUCCAAGUUUUCUAAGGAAUCUCCAUACUGCUUUCCAGAGUGGUUGCACCAAUUUGCAGUCCCACCACUAAU
rnacentral:pre_miRNA from 1 species